UACGUAGGGUGCAAGCGUUAAUCGGAAUUACUGGGCGUAAAGCGUGCGCAGGCGGUUUUGUAAGUCUGUCGUGAAAUCCCCGGGCUCAACCUGGGAAUUGCGAUGGAGACUGCAAGGCUAGAAUCUGGCAGAGGGGGGUAGAAUUCCAAGUGUAGCAGUGAAAUGCGUAGAGAUGUGGAGGAACACCGAUGGCGAAGGCAGCCCCCUGGGUCAAGAUUGACGCUCAUGCACGAAAGCGUGGGGAGCGAACAGG
rnacentral:rRNA from 1 species